rnacentral:rRNA from 1 species
UGUUUAUCAAAAACAUAGCCUUAGGAGAGUGAUCUAAGGUUAAACCUGCUCAAUGUAUAAAUUUUCAACACAAUAUAAAUGGCCGCGGUACUCUGACCGUGCUAAGGUAGCGCAAUAAAUUGGCUUUUAAUUGGAGUCAGGUAUGAAUGGAAUUACGGAGUCUAUCUGUCUCUAAACUAAUUUUUUGAAAUUACUGUAUAGGUGAAAAAGCCUAUGUUAAUAAAAUAGACGAGAAGACCCUUAGAGUUUUAUUUAAUGUAAAUUAUUCUUAUAACAAUUUAGUUGGGGCAACUUAGGAACAGAAAUUUUACAUUAACUUCCUAAAAUAUGAUUACUUAACGAUUUUAAUAAUACUGUAUAAACUACCUUAGGGAUAACAGCAUAAUUUAUUAUAUAAGUUUGUGACCUCGAUGUUGGACUAGGGAAUUAAAAGGUUAGCCACUUUUUAAAAAGGUUCUGUUCGAACUAUUAAUCCUACGUG